UGGGGAAUAUUGGACAAUGGGCGAAAGCCUGAUCCAGCCAUGCCGCGUGUGUGAAGAAGGUCUUCGGAUUGUAAAGCACUUUAAGUUGGGAGGAAGGGCAGUAAGCGAAUACCUUGCUGUUUUGACGUUACCGACAGAAUAAGCACCGGCUAACUCUGUGCCAGCAGCCGCGGUAAUACAGAGGGUGCAAGCGUUAAUCGGAAUUACUGGGCGUAAAGCGCGCGUAGGUGGUUCGUUAAGUUGAAUGUGAAAGCCCCGGGCUCAACCUGGGAACUGCAUCCAAAACUGGCGAGCUAGAGUAGGGCAGAGGGUGGUGGAAUUUCCUGUGUUGCGGUGAAAUGCGUAGAUAUAGGAAGGAACACCAGUGGCGAAGGCGACCACCUGGGCUCAUACUGACACUGAGGUGCAAAAGCGUGGGGAGCAAACAGG
rnacentral:rRNA from 1 species